GCCGCUUCCGUUGCGCGUCAGUGAAAUUUCUUUCCAACUUGUGCGGUUCAUUGUCUACAGUCAGCGCGCUGACCUUUUGCUGCUCUCCAUCGCCUGCCCUGCAAGCGCUCGCGGCCACUCUGACUUCGUCUUUGCACUCGGCCACGCUGCAAGUUUCCGGCGCGCUUGGAACCAUGCAAUUUGUCCAGGCACUAAAUAAUGAAAGCUAUGAUGCUUGUUAUCUGCACACUCGUCGCACUGCAUGUCGUUUCAGGAAAGAAGCGGAGACCAGCAAGCAAUCCAUGCAACAAACCCGCUGCCCGCGGAAGUUGCAACGGAUCAUUCAAGAGAUGGCACUUUUCCAAUACAAGCUAUUAUUGUCAGCGGUUUACUUAUUCAGGAUGUGGAGGAAAUG